rnacentral:rRNA from 1 species
GAUGAACGCUGGCGGCGUGCCUAAUACAUGCCAGUCGAGCGAACGGACGAGAAGCUUGCUUCUCUGAUGUUAGCGGCGGACGGGUGAGUAACACGUGGAUAACCUACCUAUAAGACUGGGAUAACUUCGGGAAACCGGAGCUAAUACCGGAUAAUAUUUUGAACCGCAUGGUUCAAAAGUGAAAGACGGUCUUGCUGUCACUUAUAGAUGGAUCCGCGCUGCAUUAGCUAGUUGGUAAGGUAACGGCUUACCAAGGCAACGAUGCAUAGCCGACCUGAGAGGGUGAUCGGCCACACUGGAACUGAGACACGGUACAGACUCCUACGGGAGGCAGCAGUAGGGAAUCUUCCGCAAUGGGCGAAAGCCUGACGGAGCAACGCCGCGUGAGUGAUGAAGGUCUUCGGAUCGUAAAACUCUGUUAUUAGGGAAGAACAUAUGUGUAAGUAACUGUGCACAUCUUGACGGUACCUAAUCAGAAAGCCACGGCUAACUACGUG